CCUGCCAGGGAGAUGGGAGAGCAUUCGAGUUUAGUGAACAGCACGAGGCCAGGCAGCGCAUCUGGCUGUCCUGUGGUUUUCGCCACUGUAAUUUCUCAAAAGGGUUGAAUUCCUCCUCUCACCGAACGUUGGCAUUCAGCGGAGUGCCGAUUUGUGAUUGCUUCUUUUCCCAGAAGAGUUUUUUAACAGAUGCCAAGUACAGGCCCAAGGGGGACAGCAACAAUCAGCACCCCCCCCAAGUUUCGUGAAGAUAAAAUCCACGAGUGGUGCAGCGCGGACGUUAAAGAUCCCCCGACGUCAUUCACAGGCGAGCCGGGCCCUUCUGUGCUGACCUCAGGGUCCAAAUUUGCCAAACGAAAUAAAUUACAACGCAUCUACUAAA